rnacentral:rRNA from 3 species
GAGGGGGGCUGCUCCUAGUACGAGAGGACCGGAGUGGACGCAUCACUGGUGUUCGGGUUGUCAUGCCAAUGGCACUGCCCGGUAGCUAAAUGCGGAAGAGAUAAGUGCUGAAAGCAUCUAAGCACGAAACUUGCCCCGAGAUGAGUUCUCCCUGAGACUUAGAGUCUCCUGAAGGAACGUUGAAGACGACGACGUUGAUAGGCCGGGUGUGUAAGCGCAGCGAUGCGUUGAGCUAACCGGUACUAAUGAACCGUGAGGCUUAACCUUACAACGCCGAAG